rnacentral:rRNA from 1 species
AUUGAACGCUGGCGGCAUGCUUUACACAUGCAAGUCGAACGGUAACAGGGUGCUUGCACCGCUGACGAGUGGCGUACGGGUGAGUAAUGCGUCGGAACGUGCCGAGUAGUGGGGGAUAACGCAGCGAAAGUUGUGCUAAUACCGCAUACGUACUGAGGUAGAAAGUGGGGGACCUUCGGGCCUCACGCUAUUCGAGCGGCCGACGUCUGAUUAGCUAGUAGGUGAGGUAAAGGCUCACCUAGGCGACGAUCAGUAGCGGGUCUGAGAGGAUGAUCCGCCACACUGGGACUGAGACACGGCCCAGACUCCUACGGGAGGCAGCAGUGGGGAAUUUUGGACAAUGGGCGAAAGCCUGAUCCAGCCAUGCCGCGUGUCUGAAGAAGGCCUUCGGGUUGUAAAGGACUUUUGUCAGGGAGGAAAUCCCUAGUGCUAAUAACACUGGGGGAUGACAGUACCUGAAGAAUAAGCACCGGCUGACUACGUGCCAGCAGCCGCAGUAA